AUUGAACGCUGGCGGCAGGCCUAACACAUGCAAGUCGAGCGGAUGAAGGGAGCUUGCUCCUGGAUUCAGCGGCGGACGGGUGAGUAAUGCCUAGGAAUCUGCCUGGUAGUGGGGGAUAACGUCCGGAAACGGGCGCUAAUACCGCAUACGUCCUGAGGGAGAAAGUGGGGGAUCUUCGGACCUCACGCUAUCAGAUGAGCCUAGGUCGGAUUAGCUAGUUGGUGGGGUAAAGGCCUACCAAGGCGACGAUCCGUAACUGGUCUGAGAGGAUGAUCAGUCACACUGGAACUGAGACACGGUCCAGACUCCUACGGGAGGCAGCAGUGGGGAAUAUUGGACAAUGGGCGAAAGCCUGAUCCAGCCAGGCCGCGUGUGUGAAGAAGGUCUUCGGAUUGUAAAGCACUUUAAGUUGGGAGGAAGGGCAGUAAGUUAAUACCUUGCUGUUUUGACGUUACCAACUGAAUAAGCACCGGCUAACUACGUG
rnacentral:rRNA from 1 species